UACGUAGGGGGCGAGCGUUGUCCGGAUUCAUUGGGCGUAAAGAGCGUGUAGGCGGCCCGGUAAGUCCGCUGUGAAAGUCCAGGGCUCAACCCUGGGAUGCCGGUGGAUACUGUCGGGCUAGAGUGCGGAAGAGGCGAGUGGAAUUCCUGGUGUAGUGGUGAAAUGCGUAGAGAUCCGGAGGAACACCAGUGGCGAAGGCGACACGCUGGGCCGUACCUGACACUGAACCGCGACAGCAUGGGGAGCAACAGG
rnacentral:rRNA from 1 species